rnacentral:misc_RNA from 1 species
UUCGCUCGCUUCCUCUAUAUGAGCCUUCCAGAAAGCCCGGGCCGACGUCUAUCCACUCAUCCGUGCGCACAAAAGCGUAGACGAGGGCAGAUUCAAGCACACACGCCUAUCGCAGCCCUUGCACUGCUUCCCUCCACUUUCUCUCGUCAUCCCCCAGCUACUGGUUACACCGCCCUUGACCCCCCGCUUCCCAACGCUCUCGCAUGCCACUGAGCUUGGUGACCUCUCAGGUGCGCCAGGAGGUGCACAACUUCUUCCAAGGUGUCGUGGAGAGCUUCGGCGUUGUUUUGGUGUGGUCAUACGCGCUUGAUAAGCGCCGCGCGCGCGACGGGGCCGAGGUGACGGAUGAGCAGGGCAGAUUUUCACCUCCGCCGUUUUCAUCCACACCGUUGGCGGAUGUGGCUGAGGGGGCGGCUGCAGAAGGCGCACUUGCGACAACGCCAAUGCCAGGGUCCGCUGCGCCGCUGCCGCGGACCGCGGCUCUCUCUGGGAGCGGCUCUGGUGCACCCCGUCUGGCGCGCACCUUCUUGAUGCCGUCGUGGAGUUUGCUGGAGCGAGAUCCGAAGUUGUGGAUGCUCCUGCGCAAGAACCUCCUGGCAAACCUUGCCCUUGCCUGCCUUACGCUCAUGUACAUGGGUCUCUCACGUUGCCUCGCCUCGAACACGCCAUCUUUUCUUAGUAGGGCGGCUGCUGGCGGUAGAAGUGCGACCACCGCGAGUCUUUCAGCGGACGCGCGCAGCAGCAACGGUACCACUGCAACGAGGUCCCUCACCACCUCCCUGGUAUUUCUCUUGCUGUUAUGGUCGGUGCGGUUGGGCCUGUGGAUGCUCAAGUACGUUGGCCAGUGGCCCUUCUACACUCUUCUGCAGAUUAUCGGACUUGUAUGGUUUAGCCAGCUCUACCGCGAAACCUGGCUGGUGCGCAAGGGUUGGGUGCUCCGUGGCACCGAGUUACGCGAGGCACCAGCCGCGGGGUCAGCGAAGAACAAAGCCAUGGCGGGUGGUGGCGGAGGUGGCAGCGAUGCCGGUGCCGCCUCCCAUCACGCACCUCCUACGUCGCCGCCGCCGUCCGUCGCCGCCGGCGCGGCGCUGCCAUGGCUUUCACUUAUUCCACUGUAUUCCGGCGCCGAAAGCAGCGGUGACGGCGAGGAUGGUACGUCGUACGAGGCACGAGGGUUCUCAUCUUCGUUACUGCUCAUGUGCACGGCGCUUCUGCGCUCUGUGCCGCCGUACGUACGACACACCACGAACUUAGUGUGGCGCAUGAUCACGCACAAGGGCCCGACAGCAGUGCUGCAGGACUGGGUACUCGGCGACGCUUCCAAAGCUGCCGCUGCUGCUGCCGCCGCCUCUGCUUUGACCAGCGCCCGCCACCAUCAUGCCUAUGCCUCGGGUGCAGCAUCGCCGCAUCAGUCGCAGACAAUGUCCACAAGCCCCGACCCGUUUGCGACCGUCGUCCUUCAGCUAGAAGCCAUCAGCGAGGUGCUUUUCAAGGCGCUGGCAACCAUGUCCUUUGCGCUCUUCGCAUCCGCAAUCGAACGACUGCCGCUGAUCGGCACGCCACUAUGUGCGGUGCUCAACGCGCAGCUCUACGUGUUCUACGUGUUCGACUACCGGUAUGCCGCGCAGCAGCAACCGGACGCGGUGCACCAUCGCGGGUCAGCGCUCACGUACCAGCUGCGUCACUUUGAGCAGUGCUCGAUGUACUACGCUGGCUACGGCAUGAGCUCCGCCGUGCUGUCGCUGUGGCUGACACACCAGCUCGGCACAGUCGUCUCUGUGUGCGCCGUGUCGGUGCUGUACUCGUGGCAGGUGGUGUGGAGCGGCUUUGCAGUGCCGCUACCCUCGUCUCGACCGGUGCCGCUCUUCUCCGUGUGGUUCUACGCGGUGGAUAUGGCGCAGCGACACUAUGCUGUGCUCUGGCGCGUAGUGGUGAUUGCCAUCCUCCUAUAUCUGCCCUUGGACUGUGCGUGUUGGUUGCUCGGCACUGGCGUGUGAAGAGUUCUGCAGCCGUGGGCGGCCUUUCCCAGAGGACCUGUGGUACUUGUUCCGUUUUCGUCCUGCAACACCCCCUCCCUCUCAGGGAGUUUGUCGUGUCUGUGUUUCGGCACGCGUGCGCGUGCCUUUGUGAAAACGCCUGCUGCACGCAUCGCCUCACUUCGCGGUGCCCAAGAGCACAGAUUCCUGCCGGAUGGCGGCGCGACGAUCGAUGCGCGCCACUCGCUCACCACGGUGCAGGG